rnacentral:lncRNA from 1 species
UGAAUCCUAUCGCAAUGCCUGCUCAUUGCUCUUUAAUCAUUAUUAUGCCACUUCAUAACUCCUAUGCCACUUCAUAACUCCCUUCAGUAAAUAAAUUAUUAGUAUUAGAAAUGUGAACUAAUUAUUUUAGUAAUGCUGAUCAUGACUUAUAAGAAAAAACAAUAUCAAGUGUGUAUGCACGUAAUCGAGUGCAAUUUCUUUAUUGAAUGUUAGUAGCAAUACCAUUGAUGCGUAUGGCCUCUAUAUAAGAAGCCUGGUGGCCCUAUACCAUUUGGAAACGAAGCUUUCAAGCUUCUCAACAAUGGCGACCAUCCCUUCUCACAACGUUCUCACGAAGAACUAUCACUCUUCUCCGUCUUUCAA